rnacentral:lncRNA from 1 species
CAGAGCCUGUUUAUCAGAGGGAAGGACAGAGUGACAGGAGCCUGGGGAACUAGAAUCACAAAAGUGCCUAACCCCCAACCUGGCAUCAUUUAUUAACUAGAUGGCAGUUGCCCUCUUAGUGCAAGCUGAACGGAAGCCACAGUCUCAAGGGUCCCACAUCUACAACUGGGCCAUCUUGAUGUUUUCCUGUUUGUGUCUGUCUACAGCCAAAUAAAAAGAUGACUGUAGGGAUUUUUCUGAAAAGCAGAAAAUUUGGCAAGAGAAGGAAAAAAAAACGGACUGGAGUGUGGGUCUCCCUGGCAGCCAUGGGACUUCUGCAAAUGCACCUCAACACCUCAUUCUCUUUACCCUUAAGCAACCACCAUGCUGGCUCAUUUUCUCAUGGGCAUCUGCUAUCUUGUGUCUUCUAGACUGCACACACUCCUCCAGGUAGCAUUAGGGCACUGUCAGGAGGAAUAUUAUGAAAGUUGUGGGUUUCAAUGUACUGCAUAGCUCAUUUUCCAUAACAACCAAUUCUCAAAGCUUUGACCAGUCAUAAGGGGAGGUUAAGUAAUCAAUCAUGUCCAUAGAUGGAAGAGAAGCAAAGUGUAUCAAGAUAACUGUUUAAUGUUCAAUGCUGAAGCUUCCAUGCUCAGUGGUGUAUUAACUGCUUAAUUCUACUUAAUUUUUCCCCCAAAUGGAAUAACCCUGACUUUUCAGCUGGCUCAUAAAUGCAUACUCUUGGCCAUGGAGAUAAUUAAUUUAAAGAACAUGGCUGGCAUAGGACAAAUUUUUCCCAAGUAAAUGGCCAAAUGCUUGUGAAUCAAUGCUCUACAAAGACUCAACAACAUCAGGAGACUUGCCUGCUUAUCCAGGCAAUACAAUGUUAGAUCUCUGGGUGAUUCUGGACAUGUCUAAACUCCCUGACUUCAGUUUGUUCAUUAGUUAAAUGGAAAUUCUGUCCCCUGCCUAUGGAAUACUCAGUCAUGUUGCUCAGGAGGAAAGGAGUUAAAGUUACACAAAUGGAAUUGAGCUGAAUGAAACUCACACCUUUUAUGCAAGGGAAGUUCCAUGUUCUUCAAAUGCCCAGAAGGUCAUAUUUUUUUGACCCUCAGUGAGUCACUUCAUCUCUCUAUGUUUCCUCAAAUAUAAAACCAUAUGGUCAGAUGAGGUGAUCCCUGAAGCUGUCAGUACUGCUAUUCUAGAGAUCUGUAAUAUCAUGACACCAUCCUUCUUUGCAACGUAGUAACCAACAUGGCAGCUGGCAGAUGCAAUUAGCCAAGCGGCUCUUUUCAAGGCUAGGUUAAUCCAUGGUUUGAGAACCAACCUGUGGAAUCUCUGAGCUCUGUGUUAGUUAUCUCCCAGAGUGGUCCCUGACACUCUUCUUCUCAUCCCUUGGAGGAUACAGUGGUCUCUGUAAGUGCCUAUCAUAAUGCUUCUGCUUCUCCAGCAUUCUACAACUGACACCAUCUUAAGUUAGAACCUGCGCCAUGUAAUUAGAUUUCCUUGCUACAGAUGCUGUGCCCCUUUAGCUUGAAAGGAGAGAGACACUUCACCCAGAGAUGAGAGGUUAGCAAUGCUGUGUGUCUGCUCACUAGUGAUCACUUCAGCUAGGCAAGAAAAACUCUGUCAUUAAAAUGGGGCCUUUGUCCUCUCAACAGCUGCUCCAAAGAACUGGAGAAAAGAGAUUUUUAACUGGGCCACACAAAACUAAGAUUCUAACCCCACUGACUUGGGAGAGCAGGAAGCAGGAGAUAAUUACUCCAGCUCUUUAUAAAGGUAAUUUGCAACACCAACACUUUACAUUCCAACAAUGACUGUAGCUCACAUGGUAACAACGGAUGCAGCAGAACACAUCUCCCUUCCUAGAACCUCAGUGAAGUUCAUGGACAUGACCAGAAUAUAGUUUAUUAGAAAGACCAUCCGUUUUGCAAUUUUGCAGGUGCAAGUUCUUGUUCUGGCUCUAGCUCUAUGGUUACUACAUGUGAGAUUUGGGGCAACUUACUUACCAAAAUCUCUAUUCCUCUAUUUGCCUAUAUAUAAAAUGAGCAUGAGAAUGGCUUACACAGUGAGAAAGAAAUGAGAUACUGGGAGAGCUAACUCAUAUUUUUUCCAUCUCUUCCUGCGCAUGCGCUCCUUACUAUCCUAAUCUAUAAGCACUUGGAGAAUAAGGAAACCACUUCAAGCCACUUUAUUUUAUUUUUACAUGCAAAGUAACCAAAAUGGAAUAUUUGGGUAUCUCUUAUGCUUAUACAUCUUUGUGGCUACUCUGAUUCAGGAAUAGAGUUCAAAUUCCUCAAGCUUGGCCAAUUGGUCCUUCUAAUCUGACGUCUGGAAAUACAUGGGUCAUAGUAACCACUCUCAUCACAAAAGAUCCUACAUGCCUGUGACAUGAGUUGUGGAGUUCCUUGUGCCCUGGAAAGCCAUUUGCUGUGUUACUCUUGCUUGCCUUGUUCCAGCUGGGAAAAGCCAUCUCUGAUGCCCCCUCC